UCCGCGUUAUUCGCGGCAGUCUCUCUAGAGUGCCCAACUGAAUGCUGGUAACUAGAGACGGGGGUUGCGCUCGUUGCGGGACUUAACCCAACAUCUCACGGCACGAGCUGGCGACAGCCAUGCAGCACCUGUGCACGGACUCCGAAGAGGGGCUCCCCUUUCUGAGAGCUUUCCCGUGCAUGUCAAGCCCAGGUAAGGUUCUUCGCGUUGCGUCGAAUUAAACCACAUGCUCCACCGCUUGUGCGGGCCCCCGUCAAUUCCUUUGAGUUUUAAUCUUGCGACCGUACUCCCCAGGCGGGAUGCUUAAUGCGUUAGCUGCGCCACUGACAGGCAAGCCUGCCAACGGCUAGCAUCCAUCGUUUACGGCGUGGACUAC
rnacentral:misc_RNA from 1 species